CUAUAUGUUAUUAUAUAUAACUAUUCCUGCUCAAUGACUUUAAAUAGCCGCAGUACCCUGACUGUGCAAAGGUAGCAUAAUCAGUUGGCUUUUAAUUGGAGUCUGGCAUGAACGGAUUUCUGGAAAGUAACUGUAUCUUAUUUAUUUCCGCGAAAUUAAUUUGUAAGUGAAAAUACUUACAUCUUUAGAGAGGACGAGAAGACCCUAGAAAUUUCUUUUAUUUUGUUGGGGCGACAGAAUUACAAUUAAACUAAUUUGAAUUAACGUGGCGUUAUUACAGUUCGAUUAAAUUACUCUAGGGAUAACAGCAUAAUUUAACUAGUUUGUGACCUCGAUGUUGGACUAGGACAUUAAUGGUUUAGAAGACCUUUAAUAGUGCUCUGUUCGAGCA
rnacentral:rRNA from 1 species